UACGGGGGGGGCAAGCGUUGUUCGGAAUUACUGGGCGUAAAGCGCACGUAGGCGGCUCUUUAAGUCGGGGGUGAAAUCCUGGAGCUCAACUCCAGAACUGCCUUCGAUACUGAAGAGCUUGAGUCCGGGAGAGGUGAGUGGAACUGCGAGUGUAGAGGUGAAAUUCGUAGAUAUUCGCAAGAACACCAGUGGCGAAGGCGGCUCACUGGCCCGGUACUGACGCUGAGACGCGAAGGCGUGGGGAGCGAACGGG
rnacentral:rRNA from 1 species